AGAAUUUGAAGUUACUGCAAUGAAUUGCCAACCUUUUUACAUAAGGCUUCUGUUCCUAGCAAAGCUGAAAAUUGAGCGAUGAAAUUCUUCACUAAGAAAUUCGGAGGAGUGGAUAUCAGGGUUUCAACUGGCUUUAAAGUCAACCUUCAAAGCUAGAGGUCACGCAGUUGGAUAAAAGUUUUCAGCCAAGAGAGGUGACGAAAAGCAGUGGACCCAGUACCGAUCAUCAUGGCACACCGCUGGUCACAGGCCUCCAAUCCGAAAGGCAACCCUCUACAUCUUACCUAAGCUGGAGGAAGCACAGUUACUAAAAUCUUAUUGAGUGAGGUUAUUUUCAAGGAUGACCUCAAGUAAGGCCAGCGAGGGAGUGAUCUGGACUCAAGGCACAACUAUCAAUGAUAGGACACAUCUAGCUUUUCUUCCACAACCCUACAAAAUAGUUCCCAACAAAUAAAUCCAAAUGCCUUUUGAAAUUUCCCAAGGAAGCGGUUUCCACCACUCUUUCACAUAAUGUGUUCCAGAUCACCAUAAUCCUGUGUGGAAUAAAUUUGUUUCUCUCGUUCAUUUUUUAAAUCUA